rnacentral:rRNA from 1 species
UACGGAAUGUGCAAACGUUAUUCGGAAUCACUGGGCUUAAAGAGUCCGUAGGCGGCUUGUUAGGUGAGGUGUGAAAUCCCUCGGCCCAACCGAGGAAUUGCGCUUCAAACCGGCAAGCUAGAGGAGGAUAGAGGUGGGCGGAGCUGAUGGUGGAGCGGUGAAAUGCGCAGAUAUCAGGAGGAACACCGGUGGCGAAGGCGGCUCACUGGCCCGUUACCGACGCUCAGGCGCGACAGCGUGGGGAGCAAACAGG